UACGUAGGGGGCAAGCGUUUGUCCGGAAUCAUUGGGCGUAAAGAGCGUGUAGGCGGACUUAAAGGUCUGGUGUGAAAGCCCGGGGCUCAACCCCGGAGGGUCACUGGAAACCAUAAGUCUUGAAUCUGGAAGAGGAGAGUGGAAUUCCUGGUGUAGCGGUGGAAUGCGCAGAUAUCAGGAGGAACACCAAUGGCGAAGGCGGGUCACUGGACCGGCAUUGACGCUGAGGUGCGAAAGCGUGGGGAGCAAACAGG
rnacentral:rRNA from 1 species